GGGGGCGCUAAUUCGAGGAUUAACGGUAUCUAUUUCACGUGUUCUGUGUUUUGUGGCGGCCAUUUUGAAUUUUAAUACGCUAGUGUGAGGUCUGGAACCGAAAUUACGAAAAUCGCUCGGAGCCUGCCUCCUCGGUGAGCGAACGGAUCCCCCGAGAAUUUGUGAAUUAGGUUCCAGAGCUCGCAGCAAGAGAGUCUGGGAACGAAAGAUGGCUGCUGAAGCUUGCAGCUAGGUAAAAUGUUAUUUUUACGCCAAACAACCAAUGGAAAGACUGCCUUUGGCUCUUGACACGUAUUUUCUGUUGUGUUUUGGUAUCUCAGUGCAAGAAUUAUGCCUGCAACAGGCUACAAAACACAUAAAAUGGGGACACGGUGACUGAAGCUGAUAUGCAAAAAUGCUAAGGAUGGGACACUGGAUAAACCUAGAUGGACUGUGGAAAAACUUGAAUGCACAGUUGACAGUAUUGGACACGUGGUGGGAAAAAGGGAUGGGCAUGAGUGGACAACUCUGGGUGGACAGUGGAAUCCAAAAACAUUCAGACCUUGACCAACCAGGAUGUUGGACCAGAUGGAGAACAUCACAAGACAGUGUGGACUUGGAGAGGCUAGGAAUUUAAGCACAACAGGACAGACAUGAGAGAAGGAAUAGAGGAUGCUUAAAGAGUCAAGCCACCAAGGCAAGAUGGUUUAUGGUAUCAUAAGUAGUUUGUCUAUUUAACUGUGUAUGUAUUUGGCCCAGCCCGGGAGGCCUUUGAACAUGGGGUACAGCUGGCUCAGGGUUUUCCUCCUAGGAGCAAGUGGACGUACGGGGAGGUUUUUCACCCAGCUGUUGUUCCACAACCCCUGUUCAGGUUAGCUGGUUAUUUCUUUACCUUGACAUAGUCUUCAACUAGGUUUUUAUAGUAGACUCUGUAAAUUACUUACAUUGGUUUGGAGCAAGUCAAGCUGACUAACUCCAAAAACCUUAUUGUCACUAUCUUAUUAGGACAAACACCUCUUGACCAAUGGCAACAGCAAGUCACUAUUUCAUGACCUCAGCAAAACAAUCAACAAAUAUUCUCUUCUAGAAUAGAACUAACACAAACCUAACUAAUACCAGAUGGAUUGAAACUGACAACACCUGACACCAACAAAUACUUGUACCUUGUACAAAUGACUUAUUCAUGACCUCAACAAACCUACCAACAGACUUUAACUUCAAACAGAACCGACACAAAUUUGACUUACAAUAGAUAGAGUAACAUUUCACAACUUACAUCUAACACUGACAACUUAACACCUUACAGAUAACAUAUUUAUGACAUCACCAAACCAACCAACAAACUUUAACUUCAAACAGAACCAGCACAGACUUGAAUAACAACAAAUGGAUUGAAACUGACAACAGUUAUCUGACAUCAGCAAUUAUUUAUACCCUACAGAUUUAUGACUUAUAUUCAUGAGCUAAACAAACCAACCAACAAACUGUACAUUAUUUUGUAACUUCAAACAGAACCAGCACAAAGGUGACUAAUGACAGAUGGAUUGAAACUGACAACAUCUGACAUCAACAACUGCAAUACUUGCACCUUGACCUGGACCUUGGCAAAUCAAUCAACAAACUUUAACUUCAAACAGAUUAGAACCAGCACAAACUUGACAAAUAAGAGAUGGAUUGAAACUAACAUCUGACAGCAACAAUUACUUACACCUUACAAAUGACUUUUUAUGACCUCAACAAGCCAACCAACAAUUUUUAACUUCAAACAGAACCAGCACAAACUUGACUUACAAUGGAUGGACUGAGACUGACAACAUCUGACAUCAACAACUACUUGCACCUUACAAAUGAAUAGAUUUAUUUAUGACCUGGACAAACCUAAAAAACUAGACCUGACAUCAGCACUUCAGUUUAAACCUAAGAUACAGUCACUGACACUGCAGGAUUAACUAGCAACUAACAUACUCUGUACCACAAUCACCAAUACUUUACAGACCACCGUAAGUGCACAAGUUUCAUACCAAUGCAAGGAUAAGCACUGAGUCAGAUAAUAUUCUUGUUAUACAUAAGUGUGUGUGCCACCAUUAUUUAAAUAAGUGCUUAAUUCUUCUGAAAGAAAAAUGAUCUCUGAACAUUUUGCUAUAUCACCAUAGCUGUACAUGGAAUGAGAGGUAGUUUUCUCUGCAGAUUUACAACCAGCUCACUUUUCAACUAAAUUUCAAGAAUUUAUUAAUUUCUUCAAUUCAAAAUUCACAGUUUUUGCAAACACAAGAAAGACACCCGUCCAGUUAAUUGUUUUCUUCUGUGGUUCUGUACUGAUCUUGGCAGCUACCUCUAAGUCUCAAUUGUUCUGAUAAGACUCAAAUCCAAAAAUUUGCAAAAUUAUGUUUAUUUUAAUAGGAAAACAAAACAUCUAAGAACUCACUUAUGGUAAUCUCUAAUUAAAACACAUUUUUGUUUUAUUGGGCAUAUGCUAAGGUUCCAUCCUUAACCUUAAAAAUUGGAACCACACUGAGUACCUUAGAGUAAGUUACAUGUAACUCUGAGAAGGAUGCAGGAUGUGCAGUUUUUCAAUUUUCCGCUCUUGCAAAUUGGGGUGUGCUUCAUUACAGGCUAUGAAAAAUUGAUAGUUGGUAGAACUUUAGAAUUUAGCUAAAAAAUACGUCACAGCCCUGAGGAUAGCUUGCUAAAUGAUUACUUGUUAUAUUUAGUGUACAAUGUACUUCUUUCAUAAAAGCAAAAACUAUUUCACUACUAGACUCUUUCAGAGCAACAAUCAACAUCCCGCUGCCACUCAACCUUACUACUUACUGUAGCUUUCUUAAAAUAAUCACAAAAUGUUUGUUUCUGGUUAAUCUUUUAAAACUUGUGUAGGAAAUGAAUUUUAUUAAUUUUCUUCGGGAGUCAGUAAUUAAAAACUAUUUUCCUUUUUGAUCCAUCUUUACCAUUUAAAAUGCUUGGCAGCUUGAUGGUGGUUGUUUAAUUCAUAAAUCGAUUAUAAAUUGGACAAUCUCAAUGCACACUUAGUAAAAGUGGAUCUGCAAGCUCAUUAGCACAAACGUAAACUAUUGCUAGGCAAAAAAUAUUAACUUAUCUCAAACAAAACAAAAUUUCCCACUGUUAAAGUAAGGUUAGCUCAUGCCAUCUUUUUUACCUUCUUGACUGCAUCAUUGAUUACUUUCAAGACUUACCCAAAUUUUCAUUGAUGCAAAUGUUUUUGGCCUUAAGGUAGAAAAUAUGACUCUACUUAAUGCUUGUAGGAAUUUUUUGAGAGGCAAUCUUACUGAAGACAAAAUGUUAUCAGAAUUCAGAAUUCCGCAAAAGUUAAUAUGUAGGUCAUCAUCUCGGAGGUUUUUUAGAAUUGGACUAUUUUAAGUUUUCAAAGUCUUAUUUUCAUUUUGUUUUCAAUCUGUUCAAUUUUUGUCCCAUUUUUCAUCACUAAUGAUGAUAUUUAAUAGUAAUAUUAAUCAAAGGUAGCUCAACAGUCUGCAUUUUUACCUUAUUUCUAAGUUCUUGUUUUUAUUCUGCUUAUGUGGAAACAAAAUCUUGAUUCUCUCACACAAGUAUAAACAAACAUUUUACAUUCACAUCAAAAUGAUUAUGAUGCCUAAGACUUACACAAUGCAGGCUGUUGAUGAAUACCACUGUAUAUUAAGUUGCUUAAUGCACUAAUUUCUUGGUUCUUACUUGGUGUUGAAAUGGAGGCUUUCUUCGGCUUUCGUUUAACUUUUACAAUGCCUUCUCAGUUGCUCCAAAAAAAUUCUCGGAAUUUUUAAAUAAGAAUAUUUUUAUUUACGCUCAACACCCUCAGUGCAGCCUGCUCAAAGGCUAGGUUAAGGUUUCCUGGUUGUUUUUUCUUGACUUCCAUUACCAAGAAAGAACCAUUAUUUUCCGUUGUUAAAUUAUUUUUAAUGUUAAUGAGCUUGCAUGUAUCUACUAAAGUUGUUAGGUUAUUAUUUAAUUCCAGGACAGAAGGUGGCACACACACCAAGACACGAAUCUAGCCAAUCAUGUCCCUGCUGGGUUGCGGAAGCUCUGCCUCUGAGAAGGUGUGUUUCUGAUGUCCUCUGAAAUAUUCCAACUGAGAAAUCCUGGGAAACGUUUUCUGAUCCUGUAAUUCAAGUGGGGACAGUUGGGCACUUGGAAGUGUUGGCCAUUUGCUCUCAAGUAGGAUGGACAGUGUGAAGGAAGGUGAGAGUUUGCUUUUCAUGUCUUUAGGGUUUCACUUAAUUUGUCACAAUACCCACACCAUCAAUUUCGGCCCAGCAAGAUGCUUGCUUGCAGUCAAUGCGUCAGGAAAUGUUCCACAACCAAGGGUGUAAAACAGGAGUGCUGAAUUGUGGGGCUCAAGGAAGGUUCAUCUCUAGAGAAGGCAUAGACAGAGGAGAUCACUGAAUUUCGUCGGUCUGACCUGAUUGGAUUUUCACAAAUGACAUUAAAUUGAGCUGAGUUACUGCAGGUCUCUCUGAAUGAGUUGCUACUCAGGGUCAGGUUUUCUCUCUUUCCUAGUUUUUCAUAAAAAAAUAAUUUUUAACUUUAAAAUAAUAAAAUUAAAUCCUGUAGGUCCAAU